GCUCACUUAAGUAACUUUUAGACAGCUGAAAUUCAGGAAUACGUAUGGGUUUGGGGUAAUACAGUGUUACAGUGAUACAGUGUUGUUGGAUCUCUGACAGCUGUGUGAAAUUGAUGAAUAACAGUAUAAUAUGGGACCUUUAAGAAGAAAACACGGCAGAUUAAGCUGAUGUAGAGAUGUGUCCCAACGUUGGCAGGCAGCAGACGGGCAGGCAGAGUGCAGCCGAGGGGAUUAGAGCCUCUGUCAGCUAGAGAAAGGGCGGAGGGGUGCACAGGAAAUGAUCAUGGCCCCCAUGGAGGCAAGUCAGAGGCCAGUGCUGCCAGUCCAGCUGCUGGAACCCAGUGCAGAGGCAGACAAGGAAAAUGCAAGGCAAUUCCCACAGAGCGAGGGGGUCACACCAACCGUGAAGAGAGACUCAGAUACUUCAGGACAAAGACGGCGAGGAAGAAAAGAAACAGAAACCGCGGCGGCGAUUAGUUCCGUUUUUUUUUUUUUUUGUCGUCUUUGCUUUUGUUUUGUUUUCCUUUCCAACACAAAGGUCUUUAACGGCCCGGAUGAGGGCCGCUCUUAAGCCGUUUGUACCUGAUCCCCGCCGAAACGGCAGCCCAUUCAAGUCCCGUUUUCCACACAGUCACUCUUGCCGUGCCGCCACAGCAUCGCGUCGACAGAUAGAGGAAUGGAAGAAUGUGGAGCAAAUUAACGUUAACAACAGGGAUGCGGGCCAUGCGAAGAUCCAUGCAGGACACAUGAGCGAGAGUCCAAAAACGUCAACCACAAAAACAAAAAAAAAAAGUUCCAUGAUUGAAAAGUACUUGAAAUUCCCUUUGUGUUCCCUUUUUU